AUUGAACGCUGGCGGAAUGCUUUACACAUGCAAGUCGAGCGGCAGCGCGGCCUUCGGGCUGGCGGCGAGCGGCGAACGGGUGAGUAAUGCAUCGGAACAUGCCCAGUCGCGGGGGAUAACACUUCGAAAGAAGUGCUAAUACCGCAUACGUCCUGAGGGGGAAAGCGGGGGAUCGCAAGACCUCGCGCGAUUGGAGUGGCCGAUGUCAGAUUAGCUAGUUGGUGGGGUAAAGGCCUACCAAGGCGACGAUCUGUAGCUGGUCUGAGAGGAUGAUCAGCCACACUGGGACUGAGACACGGCCCAGACUCCUACGGGAGGCAGCAGUGGGGAAUUUUGGACAAUGGGGGCAACCCUGAUCCAGCCAUUCCGCGUGAGUGAAGAAGGCCUUCGGGUUGUAAAGCUCUUUCGGCAGGAACGAAACGGUGGGCUCUAACAUAGUCCGCUAAUGACGGUACCUGAAGAAGAAGCACCGGCUAACUACGU
rnacentral:rRNA from 1 species